GUUGUUCGUGAAACGCUAAUAUAGUGCUAGAAAUAUUUUUUUUUCUCGCGACCGCUCUGGGGCCGCCUAUAAAAGGAGAUUUUAAAAGCUCUUAAAAGAAGCAGAAGAACUCCCAGUGCGCUCCGUUCAAGCCCCCAAAAUGAGUUCAAUAGAAACACCAACAAUCAAAGGGUAUAAU
rnacentral:lncRNA from 1 species